rnacentral:rRNA from 1 species
AACGAACGCUGGCGGCAGGCCUAACACAUGCAAGUCGAACGAUCCUUCGGGAUAGUGGCGGACGGGUGAGUAACACGUGGGAACGUGCCUUUUGGUUCGGAACAACUCAGGGAAACUUGAGCUAAUACCGGAUGUGCCCUUCGGGGGAAAGAUUUAUCGCCAUUAGAGCGGCCCGCGUCUGAUUAGCUAGUUGGUGGGGUAAAGGCCUACCAAGGCGGCGAUCAGUAGCUGGUCUGAGAUGAUGAUCAGCCACAUUGGGACUGAGACACGGCCCAAACUCCUACGGGAGGCAGCAGUGGGGAAUCUUGCGCAAUGGGCGAAAGCCUGACGCAGCCAUGCCGCGUGAGUGAUGAAGGUCUUAGGAUUGUAAAAUUCUCUCACCGGGGACGAUAAUGACGGUACCCGGAGAAGAAGCCCCGGCUAACUUCGUGCCAGCCGCCGCCGUAA